UGCCUUCCCUGGCACGUGGUUCAUGGUGAUCAAGAAUGCUCUGACUCCAGGUGGAGGCUCACCUUUGCACUUCGGUGAUUUGAAACGUGUAACGAACCCUAAUCGAAUGAGCUCGACCGUGUAGUUUUUGUCAGUGGGGUGGCCUCAC
rnacentral:snRNA from 15 species